AUGAUCUGUAAGAUUCCUUCAAGUUCUAACAUUCUUUCAAUCAUAUGUCAUAAUUCACAGUCCCAGCUGCAUGGCAUGCUGGGACAUUCAGACAAGCCGGAUCAGGGACCUAGGAGCAGAAAGGGGCAGUGCUGUGGAGAAACCCCAGGGGCAUUAGCUCAGCCUGAGGAAAAGACGUGCAAUCAAACCAGCAAAUUCAUGGGGAUGUGGCUAACUCCAGCUUAUUUUACAAGGAGAAGACCUAUUGUUCUCAGCUGCUGGUGAAGUGGAUAAAACCUUUUCCAUGUUCAGAUGCUGUUCUAAAUUUGACCCACUGUGCUUUCCAGUGAAUACCAGUUAGCCAUGGGGUUCUCCUGUUUUCAAGUCUAUCAGACUCUCAUUGCUUCCCUCUGCUUUUCUCCUGCUUAAAUGCAGAUACUAUUGCAGAUCCUAUGCUGCUAUUUUGUCCUCACCUGCUUGUCCCCCCCGGCUCGGGGGAUAUCUCAUUACUUAGUUUUUUAUUUUUGUUUUGACCUAUAAUUACUCUGUUUUUAUGGGAGGAUUUAGAGAGAUUCAAAAUGCUUCUGCUGAGAAAUGUGUGGGAAAUAUCAGAAAGGGAGACAGAACAUAAAGACUCCUAAC
rnacentral:lncRNA from 1 species